rnacentral:rRNA from 1 species
UUGGAUCCAGACUUUGAUUCUGGCUCAGGAUGAACGCUAGCUACAGGCUUAACACAUGCAAGUCGAGGGGAAACGACAUUGAAAGCUUGCUUUCGAUGGGCGUCGACCGGCGCACGGGUGAGUAACGCGUAUCCAACCUGCCCAUCACUUGGGGAUAACCUUGCGAAAGUAAGACUAAUACCCAAUGACGUCUCUAGAAGACAUCUGAAAGAGAUUAAAGAUUUAUCGGUGAUGGAUGGGGAUGCGUCUGAUUAGCUUGUUGGCGGGGUAACGGCCCACCAAGGCGACGAUCAGUAGGGGUUCUGAGAGGAAGGUCCCCCACAUUGGAACUGAGACACGGUCCAAACUCCUACGGGAGGCAGCAGUGAGGAAUAUUGGUCAAUGGACGAGAGUCUGAACCAGCCAAGUAGCGUGCAGGAAGACGGCCCUAUGGGUUGUAAACUGCUUUUAUAAGGGAAUAAAGUGAGUCUCGUGAGACUUUUUGCAUGUACCUUAUGAAUAAGGACCGGCUAAUUCCGUGCCAGCAGCCGCGGUAAUACGGAAGGUC